GUUCUAACUGCAUUGGGCAUCCAGUUAGCGCUCAAAAAAAUGUUAGCUCCUAUUAAAAAGUUUGCAUUCGGGAGAGCCAAAUACCACAUGACGAUGACCAGGGAUGGAUCUCUGAAGACAGAGUGCUAUAUAUGACAUGUUUCUUAUGUGUUUCUAUAUGACUGUGGAUUUAAAGGCAAUCCAGACUGCCAGAGACAGAGAAGCCAAAGUGCAUCUGGGAAGCAAAUGUGUGACUGCACAUCACUGGACAUCAAGUGUGGAUUAUGUCUUCACAUCAAACUGGAAGACUAGAGAAGCUGAACAUAUGAGUGAGCUCAGCUAAGAGACCAAGGAAAGAGGAGAAAAGAGGAACCAAGUGAUAGGUGAUUGAAAGAUAUGACUAGGCGGGAAGGCCAGUCUCGUGUCUCCCACUGCUUGUAUGAGAAGGGCAAAGAGAGAGGCUUGAAUGCUCUUUCCAUCCUUCCCCUGUAGCUUGUUUCCGGAGCUCAUCUUCAUCCUUCAACACUCAGCUUCAACGUCACCAUCUCCAGGAAGACUAUGCAGAUAUAUCCAGGUUUGCAUGAACAGAAAAGAAGAGGGGUGGUGAGCAAAGAAAUGAGCUCCAUCUCUAUCUGUAGACUCUGACCCUGGCUGAUUCCUUUGUGCACUGUGACAAAUGGAGACACAGAAGAUGGAAAACCACAUUCCUAAUUUCUUUCCCUGACAGACACCUAUUAGCAUUCUGUAUUGCAAAGAAGACCUGAAAGACGUGGAUGCAAAUAUCAUCAAGGCAGCAUCUCUGCAUCCACAGGAAGACAAUUAAACACACACAAGUUGCCUACACCUCCAGCCUCAGACAAGCUCCAAGGGCUGCCUUGAAGUCCUUCAGUCAAUAAGAUUUUUUUUUUUGUUUUACCUUUUUGUAUCCUCAAAAU
rnacentral:lncRNA from 1 species